UACGUAGGGUGCGAGCGUUAAUCGGAAUUACUGGGCGUAAAGCGUGCGCAGGUGGUUCGCUAAGACCGAUGUGAAAUCCCCGGGCUUAACCUGGGAACUGCAUUGGUGACUGGCGGGCUAGAGUGUGGCAGAGGGGGGUAGAAUUCCACGUGUAGCAGUGAAAUGCGUAGAGAUGUGGAGGAAUACCGAUGGCGAAGGCAGCCCCCUGGGCUAACACUGACGCUCAUGCACGAAAGCGUGGGGAGCAAACAGG
rnacentral:rRNA from 1 species